UACGUAGGUGGCAAGCGUUGUCCGGAUUUACUGGGUGUAAAGGGCGUGCAGCCGGAGAGACAAGUCAGAUGUGAAAUCCACGGGCUCAACUCGUGAACCGCAUUUGAAACUGUUUCCCUUGAGUGUCGGAGAGGUAAUCGGAAUUCCUUGUGUAGCGGUGAAAUGCGUAGAUAUAAGGAAGAACACCAGUGGCGAAGGCGGAUUACUGGACGAUAACUGACGGUGAGGCGCGAAAGCGUGGGGAGCAAACAGG
rnacentral:rRNA from 1 species